AGAAGUUUUUUUUCUAAGUUUUAUUCCACAGACACUGUGUUCUUGACAUUUUGUAAUCCGGAUUUCUCUAAUCUAUUCAGUAUUCAGCAUUUUGUUCUUGAUUUUGUUUACUGUUGUUCAUCCUGUUAUCAUCCUGCUGUUACAUUGUUGUUAUCAUGUUUUCAUCCUGUUCAACGUUUAUGUUCUCUCCAAUGAUGUCUGAGUAGUGAAUAGAUUUCUGAGGAUGGGUUAGAGUAGUGUAGAAUUCUCAGUAUGCUAGGUGAUUGAGUUUGAUUGAUAGAUCCCUUCUAGAUUAGUUGUUCUUAAUGCCUAUUGCUUUCUGAUCAACUAAAUUUGAGCCCAGACCUUUCCGCGCCCAAAAGUUGUUCGAUGAAAUGUCUGAACCACUAAUUCCAGAGAUUCGUGGCUCUGUACCAAGGUAUUGGUUGCAGGGAGCAUUUUGGCUUUAACUCGUUAAUUCGUAAUGCCUGUUAGGUUAGCUCUCGUCAAUGGUGAUUGAGUCUGGGACUAGGUUAACUUGAGGGUCUCUUUUGCGGUGGCACUUAGAUUUGGUUAAUGAACUUGUUGUCUAGGGAUAAUUUAUUGAGCAUGUCAAUCACCUGUAAACUGAGGAAACGAAACUACUCAAUUACCCCAUCCUCGGGAAUUCUUUAUCUGAUUGAUUUUAUUGUUUACUCUACUGCUGUUUACUGCAUCCUGUCAUUUGUUGCUUAGUUUCUACAAUUUUUUACUGUUACUCGACCUGAUACUCGACCACCCAGUUGUCUAGCAACAGACUGUGCAGUCGAGUAUCCCUGUUACAUUUUCUGUCUGUUACUCGACUUGUCACUCGACCACACCCAGUGCUCUGCAAAGAGCUGUGUUGGUCGAGUGAUUUCUUAUUUCUGUUUUCUACAUGUUCACUUAGGACUAUUAGAACACACCAAAAUCUGUUAUUGCUUGGCUUGACUUAGUGACUUCUGAUCACAUCUUGAUUGUUAGCAUCACACCCAUUUGGAUUGACAACCUAAAAUACUACAACGACAUGAUUGGUGUUUUAGGAUAAUUAACUGAAAAACCUAUUAUCAUUCAUCCAAAUCUUUGCCUUCUGGUUUUCUCUCUUCAUUUCUA
rnacentral:sRNA from 1 species